CCUACGGGAGGCAGCAGUGAGGAAUAUUGGUCAAUGGCCGGGAGGCUGAACCAGCCAAGUCGCGUGAGGGAAGACGGCCCUACGGGUUGUAAACCUCUUUUGUCAGGGAGCAAGGUGCAGGUCGGGACCUGCUGUGAGAGUACCUGAAGAAAAAGCAUCGGCUAACUCCGUGCCAGCAGCCGCGGUAAUACGGAGGAUGCGAGCGUUAUCCGGAUUUAUUGGGUUAAAAGGGUGCGCAGGCGGAGGCACAAGUCAGCGGUAAAAUCGCGGGGCUCAACCCCGCUCCGCCGUUGAAACUGUGUGCCUUGAGUGCGCGAAGGGUAGGCGGAAUGCGUGGUGUAGCGGUGAAAUGCAUAGAUAUCACGCAGAACUCCGAUCGCGAAGGCAGCCUACCGGCGCGCAACUGACGUUCAUGCACGAAAGCGUGGGUAUCGAACAGGAUUAGAUACCCUAGUAGUC
rnacentral:rRNA from 1 species